AAAGCGAAAAAAAAUGAUUGAAGCCGACUCUCAAACAUGCAUCCAGAACAUUUGGGCUGUUUUUAUGGGUCGCUCCAAUGUAUCGUCGGGAUGUUUCCAUCCAAGGCCUAGAUAACCCAUCCCAGAAGACUCCUUCAUAAGACCCUCAAGCAUGUAAGUUCGGCAAGAGUCCAAAAACACGGGCUUGGAAUGCUGCUGCUUUGGUAUCCUUAGAAUACACAAAAAAACACCGUCACCUAGAAAAACAUCGUCACUACAAAAAAAACGUCCGAUGAAAAACAAAGCGGCACAGCACAACAGACAAUAUACUUUACUGAAUAGACUUUACUUUCACACAAAAAAGACACAGGACACCACAUCAUAAGCAAUGAUGUCCUUUUCUGUUGCGACACGAGUCGAGAAACAAAGAUUUAAUGUCACGUGGCUUAUCUGCCCAGUCGUUGACUUACGUGGCUUAUCUGUCCGUCGUAGCACCCGGAUGUGUGGUCACAUGACUUACCUGUCCCAGUUGUAAUAGCCGGAUGUCACGUGACAUACCUGUCCAGUCGUAGCACCCGGAUGGAGUAGUCACGUGACUUACCUGUCCCAGUUGUAGUACCCGGAUGGAGUAGUCACGUGAGAUAGCUGUAGCUCUAGUUGCUUGUCGUCGCCGAGGUCCUCGAUGAAAGCCAGCUCACCCUUCGUGUUCGGCUCAAUCUUGUUGAUCCAAGUCUUGCACUGGUCGUCGCAGAUCGUGUAGAACAUGUAGCUGCCAUUCAAUGGGGGCUGCACAAGGGACAAGGCUUAAGUAUGGUGGACCAAAAGUGAUCACGUGCUCCUCUUAUAACCCACCCCAUACCCUCUGUAGGACAUGUAUAUGAGGUUGCGCAAGGGAAAAGGUUUAAGGAUAAAAGGGGAUCACGUGCUCCUCUUAUACCCCACCCCACCCCAUACCCUCUGUAGGACAUGUAUCGGAGGCUGAGCAAGGGACAAGGCUUAAGUAUGGUGGACCAAAGGGGCCCCCCGGAUUCCCCUACCCCACCCCCCUCGGUAGAACAUGUAGCUGCCAAUCAAUGGAGGAUGUGCAAGGAACAAGCUUAAGCAUAAGUGUAGGAGGUCUGUUGUGACCCCUCGCCUCUCCCCCUCCCCCUCGCGUAUUUAAAUAUUCGCCUACUCACAGAUUGGCCGUAUCUGAGAAUGUUAUAAUACAUAAACGGCCAAAUAGUCAACAUUUCCUACCUGUACAAAUGCAGUAAGCCGCUGACCAUAGUUAUCGGCGUCUAUGUCCGGGGCCUUGAACUCCGUCAGUACGCCGCUGCUGUUGGGAUUACCGAGGCGACUGGCGCUACUCGUGAAUGAUUCGAGCUGAGGGUUAGAACCCAUGUCAUGCCAGAUCUCACGACGGACACCACGCAGCUGAUCGGGGGAGUCUGGGGCGAGGAAAUAUGAGAACAGUUUCUUUUACCUGAACACUUAAUGAAACACCUUAUCGAACACUUAAUCAAACACGUAAUCGAACACUAAUCCAGCACCUGAUCCGACAUCUAA